GCUGUGAUCUUAUAGUGGUCAGUACUCUGCGUUGUGGCCGCAGCAACCCCGGUUCGAGUCCGGAUCACAGCA
rnacentral:tRNA from 1 species